CAAGAUACAAAACCUCUUUUUACACAAAACCCUAAACUUUUUACUUCUCUUCCGCCGCCUCCUUCACCACCACCAACUCAUGUUUCACCACCAUCUUCUUCUGACGGGGAAAAGAGGAUCAAUGAGGGAAUAUUUGAAUUCGUUAACGAACUACGAGUUCACAGCGUGCUGAAGGUACUUUCCAACGGGUAAGUCUACUAGAUCAACGGAGUUCUGAAUUGUGGUUUUAUGAUUUUUGUUUGGAUCUGUUGAAUUCACAUGCUAUGACUUGAUGGCGUUGGGAUGAGUAUUUUCCUGUAAUCAUGAUUGGUAAGGUUUUAUUAUUUUGUUUCUCUCCAUUCCAGCAACAGGAUUUCCAUUUAUUUUUUGUUUAUUUUUUUUAUCCGUGAGGUUACCAUUGUACCAUAACUUCUCUGAUCAAGAAAUGGUUCAGAGUUGAUUUGUGGUAUGGGCGUCAAAAUGCCAGGUAUUGCCGUACCACUAUCUUCUUCUUCUCAAUAGAGUUGAUUUGGGGUAUGUGUUCUUCACAAAAUAUCUUACCCGUAGAUCUUUUGGCAUUAAUUAAUGGUGGGCUGUUCUCAUUAGAAAGGUAUACUGCAUUUCAUUUUUAUCAUAUAUAUGCAUAGUAUAGCUCAUAUAUAUUUUUGUUGAUUGUUUCCUAACAUUUCAAUGGUUUCCUAUGAAGGUUGGCUGUCAUAAAAAUCAGCAUGUAUCUUAGAAGUACGGGAUUAUUGUUUAGCCAACACUGAAAUUUCUUAGAGAGAUUUUUGAAUCAAAGUUCAUUUUCCAGUUCUGAAACUAAAGUUCAUCCUUUUCAUUAUAUAUUUAAUUAGAGUAAUUUCAUAACUUCAUUUUUAUCUCUAACACCCAUUGUUAUCUGAUUAUUUAAUUAGAGUAAUCUUUGUACGUCUCUCAAAUGUUUAGGAAUGAAGGGCAGUAUAAGGUAGAAUUCCUUCUUGAUUCUGCGAACACUGAAGGACGUAAUAUUACGGUAGCCACAACACUCAUUUACCAGUUUAAGACAGUAAAUGACCAUUUGUACAAUAUUUAGAAUCAAAUGUUAAAGCAAGAUGUAUGCACCAAUUCCCGAGUUGAACUGGAGACAAUUAACAUUUUUAUUUAUUCAGAGGGAAUACUGAUUAUGCUUGGCCAUAUAUUUUGCAUACGCGCAUGCUUAGCAUUGUAGAUAAUGUUUGCAUGUGGCUGUGGUUUUUUUUCUUUGCAUGCAUAUGUCACUGCAGAAUAUGAUGGUGUGGGCGGAUUCUAAUUUUGGUGAGGUUGUCUUUGACGAAAAGAAAAAUAUUAUGGUUAUGUUUUAUGCACCUUGGUGAGUAUAGUGUAUAAAAUUGGCAUCGCGUAAAAAAAAUGUAAGCAAUUUUAUGUGAAAGUUUUGGGGAUUGGAACUUUUUUUUCUUUAAUUCCAUAAGUGAGUUUUUAACAAAUUAAGCCCUUCUAUUUGCAAUUACAUUAUUAAAACUAUCUUUCCCUCUAAAGGUAAUUAUGAGGUUGAAUAUAUUGUGUAGGGAGAACAUUUGAAUUGUUGAUUCCGUUUGUAUCGACAUGCAAAAUGCAACCAGAGAAACAGAACCAUGAUUUUUUAGUACGAUGGAAAGUAUAACUCGCAAAUAUGUAAAGUAGCGAGAUACACGUAUGGUGGAAUAUAUAUUUUGUUGAGUCAAUUCUAUUUGUUCAAAGGAUUGAAUAGUUGUGCAAAUCGAUUUUACUCCUAUUUAAUCAUAUGGAUAGUUGGUAUGACAUACAUGUUUUGAAGUCUGAAUCAAGUUACCAUAUCUCAUGUAAGCAUUAUGGUCGGUGCUAAUUGGAGCUUAGGUAAAAUCCUUUUUCAUUGUUGAUUUUCAUCUGUUUGUUUUGCAAAUGGCAUUAAUACAGUGUCCAUAGUUUCUUUGUAAUUUUAAUAAUCUUGCGCUUCUAUAGGUACACAUAACAUCAUUUCAAUGAACGAGAGUGGUUGGAACUUCACAUCUUUAUGCGUCUAAGUGACCUCUAUGAUCCUUAAAUGAAGAUGAGGUUGUUGUUCACAAGAUAAUGAAGACUAUUUUGCUGGGUAAAAUACUACCUACACACUUUUUAAGGAGAUAUUUGUGCACCAGGUUUGCCAAUUCAGUAUACUGAGACUAGAAGUGAUGGUGAUGGUGGGUGUCUUUUAAUGUAGCAAAAAUAGUAUACUAAGACUAGAAGUGAAAGUCCAUUUUAUAACUAAAUUUGUUUUGGUAGAUUGAUGGUGACACUGUUUCAGUUUGUUUUGGUCGAUUGAUGGUGACACAGUUUCAGUCAUUUGUGCUUAACUAUGCAUGCUACAAAGGGAGAAAUUGCUGCUCCUAACUGAAAUUGGUUAGCAUUUACACAUCUAAGGUUUGCAGUGUUGGGAAACUACGUCGUUAGAUGUAUUAAUGCUAACCCAAUUCUAUCUAGGAAGACUAAUACUAUUCUUCCAGGAAAUCAAGGAUAGCCGGAUGAAUAUCAUUUCUUCCUGGGAUCAAAUUUGGUAUCGAAUAAGCUGCCUUUUGUUGAUGUAUUAAAUACCCUUAAAAGGUGCAGAAACCUUAAUGAAUUAGCUUGCGUUUGUUGUGACCAGAUAUCAGAAAAUGGAAUACUACUCUCUUUUCAUUUA